rnacentral:rRNA from 1 species
UACGUAGGUGGCAAGCGUUGUCCGGAUUUACUGGGCGUAAAGAGCGCGCAGGCGGUCGUUCAAGUCGCGUGUGAAAGCCCCCGGCUCAACUGGGGAGGGUCACGCGAUACUGUUCGACUUGAAGGCAGGAGAGGGAAGCGGAAUUCCUGGUGUAGCGGUGAAAUGCGCAGAUAUCAGGAGGAACACCGGUGGCGAAGGCGGUUCUCUGGGCAUUACCUGACGCUGAGGAGCGAAAGUGUGGGGAGCGAACAGG